GCCGAUGUGGCGGAACUGGCAGACGCACUGCACUCAAAAUGCAGCGGACACUCUCCGUGCCGGUUCGAAUCCGGCCAUCGGCA
rnacentral:tRNA from 1 species